UACGAAGGGGGCGAGCGUUGUUCGGAAUUACUGGGCGUAAAGGGCGCGUAGGCGGCGACCCAAGUCAGAUGUGAAAGUCCUGGGCUUAACCUGGGGACUGCAUUUGAUACUGGGUUGCUUGAAUGCAGGAGAGGAUAGCGGAAUUCCCAGUGUAGAGGUGAAAUUCGUAGAUAUUGGGAAGAACACCGGUGGCGAAGGCAGCUCUCUGGGACGGUACUGAACGCUG
rnacentral:rRNA from 1 species